rnacentral:rRNA from 1 species
UACAGAGGGGGCAAGCGUUGUUCGGAAUUACUGGGCGUAAAGGGCGCGUAGGCGGCCUUCUAAGUCGAACGUGAAAUCCCCGGGCUCAACCCGGGAACUGCGUCCGAUACUGGAAGGCUUGAAUCCGGGAGAGGGAUGCGGAAUUCCAGGUGUAGCGGUGAAAUGCGUAGAGAUCGGCAGGAACACCCAGGGGGAAACCAGUCGACUGGGCAUCUACUGACGCUGAGGUGCGAGAGCGUGGGGAGCGAACCGG